rnacentral:ncRNA from 20 species
UACCUUUGUCACGGUUUUGGUGUCAUCCUUUAUGUUCUUAAAGGAUGGUGAAAAGGGAACCGGGUGAGAAUCCCGGGCAGACCCGCUGCUGUAAGCUCUUUUCAGUGAAUGGUUAAUACUAAUCACUGAUAUUUUUGAACAAAACUUAUAGCCACUGAUUAACAGCCAUCGAUCAUCAGUUAUUCGUUAUCAUUUUUGUUAACUGUUAACUGCUUACUGUUGACUGAAUAUUGGGAAGGCAAUUCAAAAAUGGAGUAAGCCAGAAGACCUGCCAGAAUUGAUCAAUUAAAA